AUUGAACGCUGGCGGCAGGCUUAACACAUGCAAGUCGAGCGAGCGGCGGACGGGUGAGUAAUGUCUGGGAAACUGCCCGAUGGCGGGGGAUAACUACUGGAAACGGUAGCUAAUACCGCAUACCAUCAGAUGUGCCCAUAUGGGAUUAGCUAGUAGGUGGGGUAAUGGCUCACCUAGGCGACGAUCCCUAGCUGGUCUGAGAGGAUGACCAGCCACACUGGAACUGAGACACGGGCCAGACGCCUACGGGAGGCAGCAGUGGGGAAUAUUGCACAAUGGGCGCAAGCCUGAUGCAGCCAUGCCGAGUGUAUGAAGAGGGCCUUCGGGUUGUAAAGCACUUUCAGCGAGGAGGCGUUACUCGAAGAAGAAGCACCGGCUAACUCCGUGCCAGCAGCCGCGGUAAUAC
rnacentral:rRNA from 1 species